ACGGCUCAGUAACACGUGGACAACCUGCCCUUAGGUUGGGUAUAAACCCGGGAAACUGGGUAUAAUCCCCUAUAAGUCUCGGCUGCUGGAAUGCACCGAGAUUAAAAGCUCCGGCGCCUAAGGAUGGGUCUGCGGCCUAUCAGGUAGUAGUGGGUGUAGCGUACCUACUAGCCUACGACGGGUACGGGUUGUGAGAGCAAGAGCCCGGAGAUGGAUUCUGAGACACGAAUCCAGGCCCUACGGGGUGCAGCAGGCGCGAAAACUUUACAAUGCUGGCAACAGCGAUAAGGGAACCUCGAGUGCCAGGUUACAAAUCUGGCUGUCGAGAUGCCUAAAAAGCAUUUCAUAGCAAGGGCCGGGCAAGACCGGUGCCAGCCGCCGCGGUAACACCGGCGGCUCGAGUGGUAACCGUUAUUAUUGGGUCUAAAGGGUCUGUAGCCGGCCGGAUAAGUCUCUUGAGAAAUCUGGCAGCUUAACUGUCAGGCUUUCAGGAGAUACUGUCUGGCUCGAGGCCGGGAGAGGUGAGAGGUACUUCAGGGGUAGGGGUGAAAUCUUGUAAUCCUUGAAGGACCACCAGUGGCGAAGGCGUCUCACCAGAACGGACCUGACGGCAAGGGACGAAAGCUAGGGGCACGAACCGGAUUAGAUACCCGGGUAGUCCUAGCCGUAAACGAUACUCGCUAGGUGUCGGCCACGGUGCGACCGUUGUCGGUGCCGUAGGGAAGCCGUGAAGCGAGCCACCUGGGAAGUACGGCCGCAAGGCUGAAACUUAAAGGAAUUGGCGGGGGAGCAC
rnacentral:rRNA from 1 species